UAAUUUAAUCUAAGCAUGCACAAGAUCAAAUUUUCAAACCAUAACAAGAUCAUCAUAUGUGAGAUAAGAUUCAGAUACAGAAAUUAAAUAAAAAAAUAAAUUAAAAUAUACCUAGAUAUGGAUCAAUCUUCAACAUGAACAGAUGAUCAUGGAUGUCUUCCAAAAGUUUCUUCUAGCUGCACAAGCAUCCGACCUCUAUGGAUAUCCACACGAGACUCUGAACUGAUCAGAAGCCUUUUGAUCUCAUCGGGAUGCUAGCUUCCUUGCAGGGAUCGCAUCUUGAUAGUUAAAAAUCUUCUUUUCUCUCAAGACACUCUUAGAGAAUAAAAAGAUAUAAGAGGAUCUUGAUCUCUACACUAAAGAUCAUGAGA
rnacentral:lncRNA from 1 species